CGCCUCCCCGGCGGCCGCCGAGCGUUGCCGGACGCCGUAACCCCGCUCCGCCGCGCUCCCUCGGCCGGUCAGUAGUCGCCUCCUCCGGCUGCUGCUGCUGCUGCCGCCGCCGCUCCUCCUCCUUCUGGCCCAGAGAGGGGUGUAACAAAUUGGAUUAUCAUGUGUCCUCCAACUUCAAGGUCACUGCAGAACACACAAGGAAGGCCCUCCAGCCCAAACAAUAAUGAUGUUCUGAACUGAUCACUGUUAGCUAACCACUUAAAAAGUAGACAUCCAAACUCAUAAAGCUCAACAAUAUUUCUAAAAUAUUUAAGGAGUGUAUGAUUCAAGCCAAUACUUUAAAGAAAAUUCACCAAUUAUAAAUGCUAUGAAGCCUUUUCUGAGCUUCCUUAAGAAUAAAAAGUCAAAAAGCAACAUACCAUUGGGAAAAUAGUUUUCUUCUUGUGAAGAUAAAAAUGUUUGAAAUAACACAUGGAACACAGAUGGAAAAAAGAAACUGCAUUCCUUUGACAGCAAAUACCUUGAGAAUACGCAUAUAAAACAUUGCUAAAGACCUAAUGACACAAGUAUUGGAACAUGUUACACAAUGUGGGAAGUUUACUAUAAUGUUAAAUGGAAAGCACAGAUGUUUUUAAUAUGUCUCACAUUAUGGUAUUGGAUAGAUUCUGUUUCAGUGCGGUGUUUACUAGAUUGUGUUUCAAUAAUGAGAUGCAUUUUAAAGUGAAGAUUCUGUGAGCCGCCAAAGGAAAACUAUAGUAGAGAAGGUAUUUUUUCUCUAAUACAUCUUUGAAUGGUAUUUUCAACAAUUGACUUAAAAAAAUAAAAACUGUGUUUUAUGCAAAACUUGUGUAAGUGUAACCACCGAUGGAUGAGUUACUUAGACUUAAAAAAAUUUUUUUAAAGAAAGGAAGGAUUCCAAGUUAAGAUUACAGGGAGAGCAACCACAUGAAAUUCAUUUGAGGUGUAUCUCAUAAGCAGUUAUUCCAGCAAAGAAGCUGGAGCCAGAAACUGAGGUUAAUUUUGUGGAAAGAAAACUUGUAUAACAGUUUUAAGAUUUUUCUUCACUGUGAAAUAUAAUACAUACAGAAAAGUGCAUAAUACCUAUGCACGUAGUUAAUAAAUAAUUAUAAAAUAAACAUUCCUAAGCAAUCUCCUAGGCCAGAAGAUAGAACAUUAUCAUCACUCAUGCAAGGGUGCACACACCCAAACACUGCCCCCCCCACACACACAGGUGCCCCUCCUCAGUUGCAGUUUUCUUCUUUUUCUUAAAGAUAAUCAUGAGCCUGACUUUUGUGAUGAUUAUUUAUUUAUUUUUCCUUACAGUUUUGCUACCUAUAUGUGCAUUCCUAAGCUAAUAUUUUGUUUUUUCCUCUCUUUGAACUUUAUAUAAGUGGCAUCACACUCUACAGACUCUUUUGCAUCUUGUUUCUUGGACUCAUCAUCAUUUGUAAGAUUCAUUUAUGUUGAUGUAGCCAUGGUUUGUUCCUUUCAUUCCUUUGUAUUGCAGAAUAGCAUCCAGUGGAUAUAUAAAUUAUCAUUUUCUUAUCCAUCUCAUUUUAUUUUAUUUAUUUUUAAAAAUAUUUUAUUUAUUUAUUUAUUUGGUUGUGUCAGGUCUUAGUUGCGGCAUGCGGUCUUCUCUCUAGUUGUGGUGCAUGGGCUCUCUAGUUGUGGCACAUGUGGGCUGUAGAGCGCGCAGGCUUAGUUGCCCCUCGGCAUGUGAGACCUUAGUUCCCCGACAAGGGAUGGAACCCACUUCUCCUGUGUUGGAAGGCGGACUCUUAACCACUGGACCACCAGAGGAGUCCUUAUCCAUCCCAUUUUAGAUGCACAUGUGGAUUAUUUCUAGUUUUUGCCUAUUACAAACAAAGCCACUAGGACCACUCUCGUUUUAAAAUAUAAUAUCUUGGUGGGUAUGCUAGAUCACAGGGCAUGUGUAUUUCCAACUUUGGUAGAUAGUACCCAACUGAUUUCAAAAGUGGUUUUAAGUAUUACAUUCCCAAUAGCAGGGCAUGAGAAGUCUCCCUAUAUUUCUUAACAUACUUAAAUAAUACUUAGUAUAUGCCAGAUAUCAUAUUAACUGCUUUAUAAAUGUUGACUUUUUAAAUUCUCAAAUAACCCUAUUGAGUUGGUUCUAUUACUAUCCUAAUUUACAGGAGAGAAAAUUUUGGCACAGAGAGGCUAAGUAAUUUGCCCACAGCUAUACAAGUAGUAAGAAUCCAGGAGCUGGGAUUCUUAGACAAUUGGCUCCAGGGUCUAUGUCCUUACCGACUAUGCUAUGUUUGUUUAUUUAAAAUUAAUUAAUUAAUUUAUUUAUUUUUGGCUGCGUUGGGUCUUCAUUGCUGUGUGCGGGCUUUCUCUAGUUGUGGUGAGCGGGGGGCUACUCUUCAUUGCCCUGUGAAGACUUCUCACUGUGGUGGUUUCUCUUUUUUGUGGAGCAUGGGCUCUAGGUGCACGGGCUUCAGUAGUUGUGGCGCAUGGGCUCAGUAAUUGUGACUCAUAGGCUUAGUUGCUCCACGGCAUGUGGGAUCUUCCUGGACCAGGGCUCGAACCCGUGUCCCCCACAUUGGUAGGCGGAUUCUUAACCACUGUGCCACCAGGGAAGUCCCCACUAUGCUAUGUUGAUGUUUGAAAAUUUUCCCUUUAUAUGUAAUUUUUGCAAUUGAAAAUGCAUGUAACCUAUAAAAACUCUGAUAUCUUAUAGGAUUUUUUAAUCCACUUGAGUAACAUUAGGUAAAAUGGAAAUGCAUCCAUCAGAUUUAACCAAAAUCUUUGCAUAAUGAGUGAUGAGACUGAAAAAUAGGUAUGAUUUAGCAACCCAGCUAAUGAAGCAGUUCUUCCAUUUAAAUACCCGUAUCUUUGUGAAUUCUUUUCAGAGAGCCUUUAAAUAAACUGAACAUAAAAGCAGACAUCUGUGUUGCUGUAUCACAAAAUGUUGACCCAAGAUCUAAAGAAUAAUGAGGCAUAUUCAAUUACUGUUCCCCUAAAAGGCUUUGUUAACAAUAACAUGCUAGAGAAAAGUAUAUUUUGUAUUAUUAGUAAUACAUUUUGAAAUUAUUUAAAAUAUGAUUUACUUCAUCUUUAUCUCAUCUAUUGAAAAUCUUCAAUUUCAGUAUGUUUUAUUGUAUUCAUAAUAUAUUAACAGUAAUACAUGCAUGUCAUUUAUAAAGAUAUUGGGGGUAUGCUCAAAAUUCUUUCCAAUAGGGGACUCAGUCAGAAAAGUUUGGAGACUACUGGUCUGGUGUCUAACGCUGUGUCUUAGAGAGCAGGCUUAGAAGGAAACCACAGUGGAGUCUUGGACUGCC